rnacentral:misc_RNA from 1 species
AACACUGUUAACCUGCGGUACCUGCGGAGGGAUCACUAUCGAGUUCUGACCGAAAAGGUCGACUCCCACCCUUUGUGUACUCUAACCAGUUGCUUCGGCGGGCCGAUUGCUUAGCGACCAUCGGCUUUCCAGCGGGUGUGUGUCCGCCGAAGGACCUUUUAGAAACUCUUUGUUUUUAGGUUGUCUGAGAUUAUAUGAAAAAAGUUAAAAACUUUCAACAACGGAUCUCAGAUCGGAAGA